UAAACGACUCUCGGCAACGGAUAUCUCGGCUCACGCAUCGAUGAAGAACGUAGCAAAAUGCGAUACUUGGUGUGAAUUGCAGAAUCCCGUGAACCAUCGAGUUUUUGAACGCAAGUUGCGCCUGAGGCCUCCCGGCUGAGGGCACGUCUGCCUGGGCGUCACGC
rnacentral:rRNA from 1 species